AUCGAAUCUUUGAACGCACAUUGCGCCCUUUGGUAUUCCAAAGGGCAUGCCUGUUCGAGCGUCAUUUGUACCUUCAAGCUUUGCUUGGUGUUGGGCGUUUUUGUCUCUCUUUCUGCGAGACUCGCCUUAAAACGAUUGGCAGCCGGCCUACUGGUUUCGGAGCGCAGCACAUAUCUUGCACUUUGGAUCAGGAGAAAAGGACGGUAAUCCAUCAAGACUCUACAUUUUUAACUUUUGACCUCGGAUCAGGUAGGGAUACCCGCUGAACUUAAGCAUAUCAAUAAGCGGAGGAAAAGAAACCAACAGGGAUUGCCCUAGUAACGGCGAGUGAAGCGGCAACAGCUCAAAUUUGAAAUCUGGCUCUUUCAGAGUCCGAGUUGUAAUUUGCAGAGGGCGCUUUGGCUUUGGCAGCGGUCCAAGUUCCUUGGAACAGGACGUCACAGAGGGUGAGAAUCCCGUACGUGGUCGCUAGCUAUUGCCGUGUAAAGCCCCUUCGACGAGUCGAGUUGUUUGGGAAUGCAGCUCUAAAUGGGAGGUAAAUUUCUUCUAAAGCUAAAUAUUGGCCAGAGACCGAUAGCGCACAAGUAGAGUGAUCGAAAGAUGAAAAGCACUUUGGAAAGAGAGUCAAACAGCACGUGAAAUUGUUGAAAGGGAAGCGCUUGCAGCCAGACUUGCUUGCAGUUGCUCAUCCGGGCUUUUGCCCGGUGCACUCUUCUGUAGGCAGGCCAGCAUCAGUUUGGGCGGUGGGAUAAAGGUCUCUGUCACGUACCUCUCUUCGGGGAGGCCUUAUAGGGGAGACGACAUACCACCAGCCUAGACUGAGGUCCGCGCAUCUGCUAGGAUGCUGGCGUAAUGGCUGU
rnacentral:rRNA from 1 species